rnacentral:rRNA from 1 species
CGACUCUCGGCAACGGAUAUCUCGGCUCUCGCAUCGAUGAAGAACGUAGCGAAAUGCGAUACUUGGUGUGAAUUGCAGAAUCCCGUGAACCAUCGAGUUUUUGACGCAUGUUGCGCCCAAAGCCAUUAGGCCAAGGGCACGUCUGCCUGGGCGUCAC